ACCGAACGCUGGCGGCAGGCCUAACACAUGCAAGUCGAACGAGUGGCGGACGGGUGAGUAAUGUCUGGGAAACUGCCUGAUGGAGGGGGAUAACUACUGGAAACGGUAGCUAAUACCGCAUACCAUCGGAUGUGCCCAGAUGGGAUUAGCUAGUAGGUGGGGUAACGGCUAACCUAGGCGACGAUCCCUAGCUGGACUCGGAGGAUGACCAUCCACACUGGAACUGAGGCACGGUCCAGACUCCUACGGGAGGGAGCAGUGGGGAAUAUUGCACAAUGGGCGCAAGCCUGAUGCAGCCAUGCCGCGUGUAUGAAGAAGGCCUUCGGGUUGUAAAGUACUUUCAGCGGAGAGGCGUUACCCGCAGAAGAAGCACCGGCUAACUCCGUGCCAGCAGCCGCGGUAAUAC
rnacentral:rRNA from 1 species